rnacentral:rRNA from 1 species
CACGUAGGGGGCAAGCGUUGUCCGGAUUUAUUGGGCGUAAAGAGCUCGUAGGCGGUUCGGUAAGUCGGGUGUGAAACCUCCAGGCUCAACCUGGAGACGCCACCUGAUACUGCUGUGACUCGAGUCCGGUAGGGGAGCGUGGAAUUCCUGGUGUAGCGGUGAAAUGCGCAGAUAUCAGGAGGAACACCAGCGGCGAAGGCGGCGCUCUGGGCCGGAACUGACGCUGAGACGCGAAAGCGUGGGGAGCAAACAGG